UUCAAGUUUGUCACGUGUGCAGUCACGUGAGGAAUUUUACAUCCUGUCAACAGAACGUACGAGUUUGUCCACAUGGAGAGCUAUGCUUUACAUCAGAAAGCUUUCACCACAGUGGAGUGUAACAAUAUAGUUCAGGCUGUGUAUCUAGGCAGGUAUGUGACACGCUGAGUAAUCUUGAUGGGGAUAAUAAACAAAGUACGCAUGCGC